rnacentral:lncRNA from 1 species
CAUCAAAUUAAGUUCAUCAAAUUAAUGCAUCCUAAAUUUUCUUUAGGGUGCGUUUGGUUCGCGCUAUCUUUUUAAGAUUCCUAAUAAAUCAAUAGGAUAAAAAAAUAUAACGGUAUUUGGCUAAACGCAUUAAAUAAUCUAGUUAGUAAUAUUAGACUUACUUGGAAAUGUGAUUCACCCGAAAAUACUAAUCUCAUUCUCUUGAGGAAGGGUGGGUAUCCUCGUAUUAAUGGAUUGAGAUAAUAAUAAUAUAUCUAAUUUUUUUUCUUUCUCUCUAUCCGCCGGCUAAUUGGUAUUAUUUUUUUUUACAUUUUAACCUCAUUUCUCUCUCUAAACUAAACUCUCUCUCCCUUUCUUUUUCUAAAAUCUCAAUUCUCUCACUCCCUCUAAUCUCGACUCUAUUUCUCUCUCUAUUUCUUUAAUUAUACUCUAUUUCCAACCUAUGUUCUCUCUCCCUUUUUUUAAAAAAGAUGUUGAAUUUUUAAUAGCAUUAUCUAAAAUUAAUUAAAAAAAUAAAUAAAUAAAUAAUAUUUUUUUGUAAUCUUAAAUAACAUAACUGAAAAAUAUAAUCGUGCGAACCAAACACUGGAAUACAAUAUUCUUAGUAAUAGGAUGAAUAAGAAUAAGAUUUUCGGACAUCUUUUUAUUCCUAGUAAUCUUUCAUAGUGCGAACCAAAUGCCCCAUUAGUUUAUUGUUCCUUCCUUUGUAAACUACAUAUGCUGUGGUAACGAAAGAAAGAUCACACUUAGGGCCUGUUUGGAUGCACAGUAAAAAAAUCUCUAAGGAAUUUAUAAACUGUGGUUUUAGUCUAGAUAAAAUAGAGAAUCCGGCAACUCUAAAAAAUUUCACGGAUUCAAUUUUUAAACUAUUUGGAUCUUAGUUAGUUAAUCCGCAUUUAAUUCGCGAAUUAUUCGCGACUUUUUCGACAACUGAAUUAAACGCCCGCAUCCGCAUUUUUCCAAAAAAUGCAUAAAAAAAUGUGUUUUUUUCACCAAUAAUAAUUAUCUGCGAUUCAUUCGCGAUUCGCGAAUGAU